rnacentral:rRNA from 1 species
CGCGUAGGCGGCUUUCUAAGUCGGGGUGAAAACCUGUGGCUCAACCACAGGCCUGCCUCCGAAACUGGAUAGCUUGAGGCCGUGAGAGGAAAGCGGAAUUCCUGGUGUAUCGGUGAAAUGAGUUGAUAUCAGGAGGAACACCAGUGGCGAAGGCGCCGCUCUGGGCCGUAACUGACGCUGAGGAGCGAAAGCAUGGGUAGCAAACA